CGGGCCGUAGCUUAGCUUGGUAGAGCGCUUGGAUGGGGUCCAAGAGGUCGCGGGUUCAAAUCCCGCCGGCCCGA
rnacentral:tRNA from 1 species